UGAGGAAUAUUGGUCAAUGGGAGUAAUCCUGAACCAGCAAUGCCGCGUGCGGGACGAAGGGGCUUUGCCCUGUAAACCGCUGUCGGAGGGGACGAAAGGCGCAUUUGGUGCGCCGGGACGGUACCCUUAGAGGAAGGAUCGGCUAACUACGUGCCAGCAGCCGCGGUAAUACGUAGGAUCCGAGCGUUGUCCGGAAUUACUGGGUGUAAAGGGUGCGCAGGCGGUUUUGUGCGUCAGAGGUGAAAUCCACGGGCUUAACUCGUGGGGUGCCUUUGAAACGGCAGAACUUGAGUUCGAGAGAGGCGAGUGGAAUUCCUGGUGUAGCAGUGAAAUGCGUAGAUAUCAGGAGGAACACCGGUGGCGAAGGCGGCUCGCUGGCUCGCAACUGACGCUCAGGCAC
rnacentral:rRNA from 1 species